CUGUGAUAUAUUGUUCUGAGGCAAAAAAAACUUCAAAGGCUUGUUAUUAGAUGUAAGCAAGAGAAUUCCUUGUAAGCAAAAUCAUCGCAUUCAAAUGCAAAUUUUUAAUGAGUGAUCCCACAUUUCCUCUGGCGAUUUUAGUUUUCCCAAAUUGUCAUGGAUGGCAUCGACUUGCUCUGAAAUCUUAGUCUCCAAAACUCUCUAUCUUAACAAACCAUAAAAAGCACUCCACAGCGAUUUUGCUGAAACAGCAAAGCCCUCAAUUCGAACCAAUUCAAUUCAAUCCGCUGAUCCACAAAUCCGGCCCAAAUAUAGGCUCCGUGUAGCCUCUUGUUCAGUAACAGAUGGUUGCCUCAAAAUAAUCUUCCAUGUAAUUUUGCAGUGGAAAGCUCUACUUGAUCUCUUACAGCCUCUGGACAAAGAUACUUUCUGGUCUCCAUUCUUUAAACAAGUGAAAGUAGAUUGUACCGAGAGAAAGUAUUACUCUUCAAAGGAUAAUAAGAAGCAGCUCCGCAUUGAGUACGUGGAAUGGUUAUGCAAGACAACCGCAAUUGUCCGUUUUACUUUACAUCUGGCAAAAUCACUUAUAAUUAAAUAUUACACUUUGGCAAUCGCCACAUCAGUUCUACAACUGAACUUUAAGUAAAAUAUGCAGAUUGUGUGAAAGGUGAAGGGUUCAAUUGAUCUCUUAAGUUAACUGAAAUGUAAGCUUAAAUAUAAAUAAGAAACACUUAACUUUAACUCGUAUUGUCUUAGGGUUUUGAAAUUCGGCACCACUCUAUGCAAUUGUAUAAAAUGCAUGGCAUCUUAUUCCAAAUGCAAUUGCUGCACUCGCUGACUUUCUUCCAUUUAGAAUCCCUUAUAGACAACCUUAUUCUUCCACUUUUUGUGUUAUACGCUCCAUUUUUGAGUUAAUCACCAGAAAGCUUAGUAACCAAGCACAUUUUGUAUAUCUUGACUUUUUUGGUUUUCAGUACAACUCAGAGCCCUUUUUUUUAAAGUUACAGUUGUGAAUUUUUGUUAGAGUAAAAGAGUGGUCGGAUUCUCCAGGUUUUGGGCCUUUUGCACGCUUUUUGCCCUUUGCAACAAAUGCUACUUGGGAGUAUUCUCGAUGCAGCAAGAUUAUUCUUUGUGAGGGUGCUUUCCGAUCAUUCAAUCAAUCAAACAAUCAAUCACUUUAUUUAAGAGUAAAUUAUGGUAUCUCGCCAAUGGUAAAACCCUCUUCUAACUGGGAACACUUAAAUAAAGUAAAUAAAAUAACUGAAGAACCUUCGUCACCCAUAUUUUCUCCUGCUUUGAGCAGUUUGCUUGUCUUCAAUUUGAGUUCCCAUGUCUCUUAUGGUUCUCUGCUCUGCUCUGCCAGGCCAAUGCGAUUAAUUUACUUCUGACUUUUCCGCACUCUUAUCAAAAGCCCACUGGCAGUAUGUAAAAAAGAGCCUUCCCGGUCUCAUUACAAAACUACCAAAUGUGGAAAACAGAAGCUAACUUUAUAAACAGAUUCGAACUGAUGAAUCACAACUGACUAGCUUACUCUUCAGUUCUUGAGUUGGAAAGUCAGCAAAAAAAAAAAAAAAAUGGUCGUCUUGAGUACAAUGGUUGAUCAAUAAAUGUGGUGCUCAUUUUUAACUCUCUUAAUUAAUUCAAUGUGUGAAUUCAAAAUUUACCCUCUCGCUAUUUCAAAAUACCUACCAGAAACAUCUAACAUUGCAGGUUCGUUUUAUAAGUAGACAAGUGAUUGUAAAUGAAUCUGGUUUAACCCUAAAACUCCCAUGGUCUGAUUGCUAAUUCUCCCUUGUACCUGCUACACAUUUUGUAAAUUGGUUACUAAAAUUUGAUAUUCAGUUUUGAGUUUUGAGUUUUUUUUUUGGAGUUUUUAUAGAUUUGUACAGUGUACAGGUGAGAGAACAAUGGGACACGUAGUCCCCUACUAGGUUCACCCACCUAAACCAACUGAGCCGAACAACUGAACAGCCCAUAGAACUCACAAUAACAAUUUCCUAGUUUAUUCCUCUUCAAUCUAAUUCACCAAACUCUCACUAAAUUCAGUGGAAAAACUUUCCAUAAACUCACGCUCUCACAACCUACUUGUUCUUUUUUCCACACACACAUGCUCUCACCACCUUAUUUGGUAGUCCUAGCCCAAAUUUGUUAGUACUGCUUAACAUCACAAAACUGUGAGGGGUGGGCUUGGUAAAACUCUCGUACACAACUCCUAACCAUUUCUCAAGAUAACAACUUCCACACAAUAAGUUUGAGUAUUCUCAUUACCAGUUUGCUGGAUAAUGUGUGGAUACUACAGGGAGAAGUUACAUGUUGAUCACUUCUGGGAGUUAAAGCCAAGAGGUGCAAUUCACCUAGUCAUAACCCAAUUCUCUCGUCUACAUAGUGUGGCAGAUGUAUACAUGAUUUUUCCCAUUUACACCAUAAAUUUCACCACGAAAAAUCUCCUUUACACGCACAAGAUCUCGUCAAGUUUUGCCAUACUUUGCAGACUGGGUUAUUCGAGCAAUGAAUUCUUUGAAUCAUAUUAAUUAUAAAAUUGAUUUAUUCACCAAAAUGUUAGUUAAUACCAGUUAUAUCAUUGGGUGGGUUAAUAAUAUUCGAAUGUAUUUAGUACGAGUCGCUGGCUCACUGUACAUCUCGAAUUGAAAUAAAUGAA